rnacentral:misc_RNA from 1 species
CGCACCUUGCACCUUUUGGUAUUCCGAAAGGUAUGCCUGUUUGAGUGUCUUGAAAACCUCAUUCCUCCAAGGUUUCCUUUGUGAACCAUGGACGGACAUGGAUGUGGGCGUCUUUUGCCUUUGACCAGGCUCGCCUUAAUAGACUUAGUGGGAUCUCCUUGAUCUAAGCUGGACGUAAUAAGUUUCGUCUGUGCAAACGAUCGGCCGGAGCCUGCUUCCAACGUUCCCUUUGUGGGAAACACCUUCAAGCUAGACCUCAAAUCAGGUAGGACUACCCGCUGAACUUAA